GUUGGGGGCUCUCCCAUAUGGUCGACCUGCAGGCGGCCGCGAAUUCACUAGUGAUUAGAGUUUGAUCAUGGCUCAGAGCGAACGCUGGCGGCAGGCUUAACACAUGCAAGUCGAGCGCCGUAGCAAUACGGAGCGGCAGACGGGUGAGUAACACGUGGGAACGUGCCUUCUGGUUCGGAAUAACUCAGGGAAACUUGAGCUAAUACCGGAUAAGCCCUUCGGGGGAAAGAUUUAUCGCCUUUGGAGCGGCCCGCGUCUGAUUAGCUAGUUGGUGAGGUAAUGGCUCACCAAGGCGACGAUCAGUAGCUGGUCUGAGAGGAUGGCCAGCCACACUGGGACUGAGACACGGCCCAGACUCCUACGGGAGGCAGCAGUGGGGAAUCUUGCGCAAUGGGCGAAAGCCUGACGCAGCCAUGCCGCGUGGAUGAUGAAGGUCUUAGGAUUGUAAAAUCCUUUCACCGGGGACGAUAAUGACGGUACCCGGAGAAGAAGCCCCGGCUAACUUCGUGCCAGCAGCCGCGGUAAUACGAAUCGAAUUCCCGCGGCCGC
rnacentral:rRNA from 1 species